ACGCACGCUGGCGGCGUGCUUAACACAUGCAAGUCGAACGGAAAGGCCCUGCUUUUGUGGGGUGCUCGAGUGGCGAACGGGUGAGUAACACGUGAGUAACCUGCCCUUGACUUUGGGAUAACUUCAGGAAACUGGGGCUAAUACCGGAUAGGAGCUCCUGCUGCAUGGUGGGGGUUGGAAAGUUUCGGCGGUUGGGGAUGGACUCGCGGCUUAUCAGCUUGUUGGUGGGGUAGUGGCUUACCAAGGCUUUGACGGGUAGCCGGCCUGAGAGGGUGACCGGCCACAUUGGGGCUGAGAUACGGCCCAGACUCCUACGGGAGGCAGCAGUGGGGAAUAUUGCACAAUGGGCGGAAGCCUGAUGCAGCAACGCCGCGUGCGGGAUGACGGCCUUCGGGUUGUAAACCGCUUUCGCCUGUGACGAAGCGUGAGUGACGGUAAUGGGUAAAGAAGCACCGGCUAACUACGUG
rnacentral:rRNA from 1 species